AUUUUUUUUAAAAGAUUUAAUAUAAAAUAUCAAACGAAAUUGUCUUUAAAAUAUUUUUCUCUUAAACGAACUUGUGGGAACAUGUUUUUUAUUUCUAAAUAAUUAUUUUUAGAAGGAAAAUACGCCUGAGGAAGAUAGGAAAAUGAAACUAACGAUCAAGAAUGAGCUUGUUGAGCCUAAGUUUUGUCACAGUUUUCUACUUGCCUUUGAAAAAGACCAGACUUUAAUUCAUUACAUGGAGCGUGCAGUUGAAAUGAAUAAACCAAGAUUUGAAAGGUUACUGUUAAAGAUAUGAAAU